CACGUAGGGCGCAAGCGUUGUCCGGAAUUAUUGGGCGUAAAGAGCUCGUAGGCGGUCUGUUACGUCUGCUGUGAAAACCCGGGGCUUAACCCUGGGCUUGCAGUGGAUACGGGCAGACUAGAGGCAGGUAGGGGAGAAUGGAAUUCCCGGUGUAGCGGUGAAAUGCGCAGAUAUCGGGAGGAACACCGGUGGCGAAGGCGGUUCUCUGGGACGGUACUGACGCUGAGACGCGAAAGCGUGGGGAGCGAACAGG
rnacentral:rRNA from 1 species